AACCGCGGCGCCCGCCGGAGGACCCCACGACUCUCUUCCGCCCCAGCGGCAUCUUCCGGGUGAGCCAUCACGAAUGAGUCAAAACUUUCAACAACGGAUCUCUUGGUUCUGGCAUCGAUGAAGAACGCAGCGAAAUGCGAUAAGUAAUGUGAAUUGCAGAAUUCAGUGAAUCAUCGAAUCUUUGAACGCACAUUGCGCCCGCCAGCACUCUGGCGGGCAUGCCUGUCCGAGCGUCAUUUCAGCCCUCGAGCCCCCCCCGGGGCUCGGCGUUGGGGCCCGGCCCGCCGCGGCCGCCCCCCAAAUCCAGUGGCGACCCCGCCGCGGCCUCCCCUGCGCAGUAGCACACGCCUCGCACCGGAGCCCCGGCGGCGGUCCUCGCCGUGAAACGCGACCAGCCUCCCAGGAGAGUUGACCUCGGAUCAGGUAGGGGUACCCGCUGAACUUAAGCAUAUCAAUAAGCGGAGGAA
rnacentral:rRNA from 1 species